rnacentral:misc_RNA from 1 species
GAAAUGCGAUAAGUAGUGUGAAUUGCAGAAUUCAGUGAAUCAUCGAAUCUUUGAACGCACAUUGCGCCCUUUGGUAUUCCGAAGGGCAUGCCUGUUCGAGCGUCAUUGAAAGCCAUCAAGCACGGCUUGGUGUUGGGCGUUUGUUCUGCCGCUCCGGCGCGGAACUCGCCUCAAAUCCAUCGGCGGCACGCGAUGUGGGCUUGCAGCACAGCAGAUUGUGCCGUUGCAAGCGUCCACUGCGAGGCCUGCCGCAAGGCCUCUUUCUCUGGAAUCGACCUCGGAUCAGGUAGGGAUACCCGCUGAACUUAA